rnacentral:rRNA from 1 species
GACGAACGCUGGCGGCGUGCUUAACACAUGCAAGUCGAACGGAAAGGCCCUGCUUUUGUGGGGUGCUCGAGUGUCGAACGGGUGAGUAACACGUGAGUAACCUGCCCUUGACUUUGGGAUAACUUCAGGAAACUGGGGCUAAUACCGGAUAGGAGCUCCUGCUGCAUGGUGGGGGUUGGAAAGUUUCGGCGGUUGGGGAUGGACUCGCGGCUUAUCAGCUUGUUGGUGGGGUAGUGGCUUACCAAGGCUUUGACGGGUAGCCGGCCUGAGAGGGUGACCGGCCACAUUGGGACUGAGAUACGGCCCAGACUCCUACGGGAGGCAGCAGUGGGGAAUAUUGCACAAUGGGCGGAAGCCUGAUGCAGCAACGCCGCGUGCGGGAUGACGGCCUUCGGGUUGUAAACCGCUUUCGCCUGUGACGAAGCGUGAGUGACGGUAAUGUGUAAAGAAGCACCGGCUAACUACGUG